rnacentral:lncRNA from 1 species
AUGAAGAAACGAAGAGGCUGUUGUGUCCCUUACUCUUACUCCUUUCUCCUCACGGCUGCUCGGCAGCAGAAACCACCCUCAUCUACCACGGCCAUCGGUGGCUGGAGCAGAGCUGAUGGCUUUCCCCACAGAGAAACUGGGGAGAGGAGGCUUUCCCCACAGAGAAACUGGGAAGAGGAGGCUUUCCCCACAGAACCUGGACAAUAACUCCGGGCAGGAGGAAAAU